GAUGAACGCUGGCGGCGUGCCUAACACAUGCAAGUCGAACGAAGCGCCUGGCCCCGACUUUUUCGGAACGAGGAGCCUUGCGACUGAGUGGCGGACGGGUGAGUAACGCGUGGGCAACCUGCCUUGCACUGGGGGAUAACAGCCAGAAAUGGCUGCUAAUACCGCAUAAGACCGAAGCGCCGCAUGGCGCAGCGGCCAAAGCCCCGGCGGUGCAAGAUGGGCCCGCGUCUGAUUAGGUAGUUGGCGGGGUAACGGCCCACCAAGCCGACGAUCAGUAGCCGACCUGAGAGGGUGACCGGCCACAUUGGGACUGAGACACGGCCCAGACUCCUACGGGAGGCAGCAGUGGGGAAUAUUGCACAAUGGGGGAAACCCUGAUGCAGCGACGCCGCGUGAAGGAUGAAGUAUUUCGGUAUGUAAACUUCUAUCAGCAGGGAAGAAGAUGACGGUACCUGACUAAGAAGCC
rnacentral:rRNA from 1 species